rnacentral:rRNA from 1 species
AAUGAACGCUGGCGGCAUGCCUAACACAUGCAAGUCGAGCGAACGGACGGGGAUCUUUCUUUUCUGGUGUUAUCGGCGGACGGGUGAUGAACACGUGUAUGACCUACCUAUAAGACUGGGGUACCUUCGCGAAACCUGGUCUAAUACCCGAUAAUAUUUUGAACCUGGUUGGUCAAAAGUGAAAUACGGUAUUGCUUUCACUAAUAGAUUGAUCCGCGCUGGAUUAGCUAGGUGGUAAGGUAACGGCUUACCAAGGCUACGAUGCAUAGCCGACCUGAGAGGGUGAUCGGACACACUGGAACUGAGACACGGUACAGACUCCUACGGUAGGCAGCAGUCGGGAAUCUUGCGCAAUGGGCGAAAGCCUGAUGGAGCAAAGCCGCGUGAGUGAUGAAGGUCUUAGGAUCGUAAAACUAUGUAAGUCGGGAAGAAGAAAAGUGUAAUUACCCGUGAACAUAUUGACGGUACCUAAAGAAUAAGCAACGGCUAACUCCGUG